rnacentral:rRNA from 1 species
UAGAGUUUGAUCCUGGCUCAGGAUGAACGCUAGCGACAGGCUUAACACAUGCAAGUCGAGGGGCAGCGGUGGUGAAGGCUUGCCUUUACCAGCCGGCGACCGGCGCACGGGUGAGUAACACGUAUGCAACCUGCCUGCCACAGCCGGAUAAUCGGGAGAAAUUCCGUCUAAUACGGCAUAAUGCAUCGACGGGACAUCCUGUUGGUGCCAAAGGUUGAUUCCGGUGGCGGAUGGGCAUGCGUCGCAUUAGUUAGUUGGCGGUGUAACGGACCACCAAGACGACGAUGCGUAGGGGUUCUGAGAGGAAGGUCCCCCACACUGGUACUGAGACACGGACCAGACUCCUACGGGAGGCAGCAGUGAGGAAUAUUGGUCAAUGGGCGGGAGCCUGAACCAGCCAAGUCGCGUGAGGGAUGACGGCCCUAUGGGUUGUAAACCUCUUUUGCCGGGGAGCAAAGUGCCGCACGUGUGCGGUUUGGAGAGUACCCGGAGAAAAAGCAUCGGCUAACUCCGUGCCAGCAGCCGCGGUAAUACGGAGGAUGCGAGCGUUAUCCGGAUUUAUUGGGUUUAAAGGGUGCGUAGGCGGACGCUUAAGUCAGCGGUAAAAUUGCGGGGCUCAACCUCGUCGAGCCGUUGAAACUGGGUGCCUUGAGUGGGCGAGAAGUACGCGGAAUGCGUGGUGUAGCGGUGAAAUGCAUAGAUAUCACGCAGAACUCCGAUUGCGAAGGCAGCGUACCGGCGCCCAACUGACGCUGAAGCACGAAGGCGUGGGUAUCGAACAGGAUUAGAUACCCUGGUAGUCCACGCAGUAAACGAUGAAUGAUAGUUGUCCGGGGCGAUUGAGUUCUGGGUGACACAGCGAAAGCGUUAAGCAUUCCACCUGGGGAGUACGCCGGCAACGGUGAAACUCAAAGGAAUUGACGGGGGCCCGCACAAGCGGAGGAACAUGUGGUUUAAUUCGAUGAUACGCGAGGAACCUUACCCGGGCUCAAACGCAGGAGGGAUGUUUUUGAAAGGAGGCAGCCAGCAAUGGUCUCCUGCGAGGUGCUGCAUGGUUGUCGUCAGCUCGUGCCGUGAGGUGUCGGCUUAAGUGCCAUAACGAGCGCAACCCCUACCUACAGUUGCCAUCGCGUGAUGGCGGGCACUCUGUGGGGACUGCCUGCGCAAGCAGUGAGGAAGGCGGGGAUGACGUCAAAUCAGCACGGCCCUUACGUCCGGGGCGACACACGUGUUACAAUGGCAGGUACAGCGGGAAGCCACCCAGCGACGGGGCGCGGAACCCGAAAACCUGUCUCAGUUCGGAUUGGAGUCUGCAACCCGACUCCAUGAAGCUGGAUUCGCUAGUAAUCGCGCAUCAGCCACGGCGCGGUGAAUACGUUCCCGGGCCUUGCACACACCGCCCGUCA